AACCGAAACCAUUUGCCAUCCGCAGUUUUUUGUAGUGUGCUCCGCGCCAUCUUAGUGCCCGAAGCACCACGAGAAGCUGCAGAUGGAAGUUUUGGUUG
rnacentral:pre_miRNA from 18 species